GGUCAGAUGUUUUUGACGUUUGUUGCAUUGCUUUUCUGUAAACAAAUAGAAUAAUAGUUCACGUCAUCCAGUUUUGUGGCAACAUUUUCAUCACAAAAAGAUUCCCAGAAUGACCGACGAAUUGUGCGACAAGAUCGAAAAUGAUGAGUUUUACAAAAACUUCCUCGGCGAAAAACCCAGUCCCGAGCUGCAGCUUACCGUGGCUAUCAGCGAUCAAAUCGCCAAACUAUCGGAAGGUAUCGAGCAACUGUCCAGUUCACUUCAAAAGCAAGUUCGAGAACAAUACGGUGCACUUUUAUCGCAAGCCAAACACGCCGGAACACUAAACGCAUCGAUUGAAUCCAUCUCGAGUCACAUCGAAACGCUUCGCUUCGGUGCCGAACGGUUACGCCGGCAGAUAACCGUUCCGUACGAUGUGCUUGAAACACAAACCAAGGUACUGGGACGAUUGCAUGAGGCAUCACACGUCCUGCGCCAGUGUGCCCGGUUCCUGCAGGUACACAAGGAGCUAAACAACACGACAGACCUCGCGGAGCAGGCUAGUAUCGUGAACGAGCUGGAAGGAUUGAUGGAAGAUGUGGAUCUCACCAAGAUAGAUUUUCUCCGUGAAGAGAUAAGCACCGUCAAGAAAGCGAAACAGCGGCUUCUAAAGGUCGCGAACCGGGAUCUUUUCGAGGGCAUACUGAAAAGCAAACCCGAUCAGGUCGGUGUAUGUGUACGCAUUUUUCACAAUCUAAAAAUUUUACCCAAAUGCCUUAACAACGUGCUGGAAACGUUCAGUAACUAUCUAAAGGAUGCGGUAAAAGAAUCCUUCGCCGGGACAGAUGUUGCCAAGCUCCGUAAAACGGGUGCUUCGUCUCCGGCAAAGGAACGGCACGAAUCACGCCAACUGAAAGCACCCGGAAAAGCACCGGCGCUUACCAACUCCUCCAACUUCCGCACAAAACUUUGGCAAGCGCUGGAAUGGUUGUUCCUUGAUGAAAUGUACGGUCACUGUACACAGGUGCUGUUUUUGCAAAAGUGUCUUCUCGAAUUACCACUGGGCGAUGAAUACAUGCUAGCGAAAGAGUUUGAUCGCAAAUUUUGGAACAAUCUAGAAAAACAGCUGGUGAGUUCGUUCAAAGCGGCCCAAUCCCACGUGACACAGACGCUUCAGCAGGGCCUUCCGAAACUGCUAUCGCUUGCCCGUGGUUUGGAAACCAAAAUCGAUCAACAUUUUACAUUCAGCGAGAAAGUGUUCGGUUCGCUUGAGGCUGGCUAUCUGGAAAAGUGUGCCAACAACUUUAAGGUCGCGCUGGCAGAUAUCGAUUUUCCGAACCAAGAAGUAAUCGAUUCACUGGUCCGUGUUGCAUCAACCGAGCUAAAUGCGGCCAUUGUUGAUCCACGCCUAAUCGGACUUGUGACGGGUGUGCUGUGUGUGUCGAACAAGGAUCUGUGGAAUAAAAUCGAACGCAAUGUAAAGCUUGGGUCCGAAACACAGCAAGUCCUUGACAACCCGAAUGUAUCGCAAUCACAAAACAUUACACUCGCUAAUGUGAUCCACUAUCACCAUGAAGCUAUCAACCGGUUGGUGUCACAUUUAGGAACCAAGUUUUCUGCACUGGACGCAUCGAAACGAUUGACGUCAAGUCUCGUUGAAGGCAAGACUAUCACGAUGGCUAUCUUACAACCACUGAUCGCUUCCAUCAAUUCGGCGGUCAACGUAAUCCUUCUCUCCAUGCACCGUGAACCUGGCUUGAAUUCGAGCAACAUUUCCACCACUGGUCCGUCGCUGUACAUGAAAGAAUUGCAAGAUUUUAUCGUUCGCUCCUGGAACACACACAUUCUACCGUUCAACGAUCGUGCAGUGAUCGAGGAAGCUGGUCGCAACCUAGCCAUCCGGUGUAUUGAACUGUUCGUACAAAAUUUGGCAACAAUUCGACCGAUUUCAUUCGCAGGUCGGCAACGGCUCAAAGCCGACUGUCACCAUCUCGAAGGUGCACUAAAACCGAUCGUUGCGGAUCUUUCCUCGUUGGGGAAAAGUUUCCGUUUGCUUCGUGCGAUCGCGUCACUGUUUACCGCCACACCGCAGGAGCUGGUUGAGCAGACCGUCGAGGAGGGUGGAGUUGUACCGCCGUACAUCGUACUGUUUAUGCUGUUUGGACACGCUGGUAACGAUAUGGCAAGUCCGCACGUAACAGCCGGCUGGGGCAAUGAGAAGCUGCUGCAAUGGUUAGAAAGUCAUUCCGCGGAAAGGGAACGCUUGGAGCUGAUAACGGGUGCGCUCCAGAAGUACCGAUCAGUAAUUCGUCAAAAGAACAUUACGCAAUACGAUCCUGUUUAUCCGAUCGUAACGAGCUACUUGGAGAAUGUGGCCAAACACUUGAAUUAGUAUUUCAGGCUGAACAUCAUCCGAAAGCUGUCUGGCAGAAGAUUUUGUGCGGGUCACGGCAAGUGCAUAGAUCAGACAAGUUUUACUAACGCAUUGGAUAACACUUCCAUUGAGCCAAGAAGACACUCAAGCCCUUAUCCGUAUGCUUGGCGCUGGUGGAUAGCCCACAGCAUACUGUUGAUCAUUAAAGGAGGAUUUUGGAUCUCGUUGUUUAUAAUUGUGGUACUGUUUAAAGCAUUCCCAGCCAAACAUGGCUGCAGUUCACCCAUCAUAUUAGAAGAGCCUCCAGUAUUUGAUCAUCAUCAUUCUUCAACCGGUUGGGGACGUCAAAUCAAUCUCUGGAAGUCACUGCCAGACUGGCAACUUUAUUGGAAAGAUAGACUUGAAAGAGGGGAAAAAAUAAAUAAAGGUAAUUCAGGCGAUUACUCUUAAAC